UCUACGGGCGGCAGCAGUGGGGAAUAUUGGACAAUGGGCGAAAGCCUGAUCCAGCCAUGCCGCGUGUGUGAAGAAGGCCUUCGGGUUGUAAAGCACUUUCAGUGGGGAAGAAAGCCUUGGGGCUAAUACCCUCGAGGAAGGACAUCACCCACAGAAGAAGCACCGGCUAACUCCGUGCCAGCAGCCGCGGUAAUACGGAGGGUGCGAGCGUUAAUCGGAAUUACUGGGCGUAAAGCGCGCGUAGGCGGUCUGAUAAGCCGGUUGUGAAAGCCCCGGGCUCAACCUGGGAACGGCAUCCGGAACUGUCAGGCUAGAGUGCAGGAGAGGAAGGUAGAAUUCCCGGUGUAGCGGUGAAAUGCGUAGAGAUCGGGAGGAAUACCAGUGGCGAAGGCGGCCUUCUGGACUGACACUGACGCUGAGGUGCGAAAGCGUGGGUAGCAAACAGGAUUAGAUACCUAGUAGUC
rnacentral:rRNA from 1 species